AUGGCCAUACCACAUUGAAACGCUGGCUCUCGUCCGAUCACCGAAGUUAAGCAAUGUCGGGCAGUACUUGGGGGGGGGGUGACCACCUGGGAACACCGGGUGCUGUAGGCU